UUUAACUGAAGAGUUUGAUCAUGGCUCAGAUUGAACGCUGGCGGCAGGCUUAACACAUGCAAGUCGAGCGGGGGAAGGUAGCUUGCUACUGGACCUAGCGGCGGACGGGUGAGUAAUGCUUAGGAAUCUGCCUAUUAGUGGGGGACAACAUCUCGAAAGGGAUGCUAAUACCGCAUACGUCCUACGGGAGAAAGCAGGGGAUCUUCGGACCUUGCGCUAAUAGAUGAGCCUAAGUCGGAUUAGCUAGUUGGUGGGGUAAAGGCCUACCAAGGCGACGAUCUGUAGCGGGUCUGAGAGGAUGAUCCGCCACA
rnacentral:rRNA from 1 species